GGGCCCAAAGCAGAUAAUAUCAUGCUACGGCAAAGUCGAGCCUGGGAUGUGGUGGGGCUCGGGCCUGGAUGUGACAAAUGGCUUGAAGCCAAAUAAUUCCAUCAACCGUUCUUACUCAAUCUCAUCUUUGGGAAUUAACUCUUCUACAACAAAUGGAAAUCACGGCCCACUCAUUCACCCAAGGAUCCAUUUGGAACGAAUGAAACAAAUGUGCAGUAGAGUCGGAGCUUCUGACCUCCAAUGGGAUGAUAAAAUCCCCAGAUAAACUACCUAAUAGUGGUGGAUCAUUUUGGAAGGACAAUAACAGUGUGUCUGAAAAUUUUGAUGGUAAGGAAUGCUGGCUAUUUCAAGAUGGCGAUAAUGGUGUGAGAUCUAAGAAUUUUCCAUCGCCUGCUAAUGAUAAUACAGUUGAGACAGAAUGGAUUGAACAAUAUGACCCGAGUGUUUAUAUAACUUUUGUGGCUCCGCGGGAUAUAACUAAAGAUCUCAAACGAGCGCAUUUCAGGGCCUCUUGGUUCUAUUGGUUUCUUAAUAAAUUAAUUUGUGAGCUGGCAGCCCAAUGAUCUAUUGAUCACAUUGGCCGUAACAUGCCACAUAUGUUGAUCAUUUGCCAGCUGGUAGCCCAAGUCUAUUGCCUAUUGAUCUCACUCUCUCACACAUAUUUUUGUGGUGAUAAUUUCUGGAAUCAUUUGCUUAUAAGUUAUUGUCUAAUGUUUGGCAAGUUACUUAUCUUUUUCGUAGUUUUGAAUUAAUUCUCGUGUAUACUUGUUGCAUGUCACAGCCCGUCCCGGAGAUGUACGUUAAUUAUGUUAUCGAUGGUGUGAAAUUACCUAAAUAUCCUAGGAUGUUGAGAAUUAUUAUGGGAUGUGGUGGUUUAAACUUAAGAUUUUGGACCAAUUAAUUAUAUUCCUCUUUUAUUGGAUCCAAUCAGAGCUAAGUGUCCUCUUAGUUGUGAUUGGUGUGCAUUUUGGGACCACACACACAUCCCUACCCUUUCUGUUUUCUCUCCCGUACUCUUUCUCUCUUGGUUUCACUAUCUUUCUCCUUGCUACGUACGGACAAGGGGAAGAACACCCCAAAACUUCACAGAUCAAGGAAGAAAAUGGUACCAUUGUGUUCAUGAGGACCCUAUGAGUUCAAAGGUAUCAAUUUCAGGGAAUUUCAAGCUCAUAGAGAGCUUUAGGAGGUCCUAAGGAGGCUCGGGGUGGUUUGUUGGAUAAAUUUGGACGUCGGGAUAGCUAGUUUUGAAGUUGACCGGAUUAUCGAGCUUCCUCAGGUGAGACUUAUCUCGAGGACGAACGUAUCCAAGGGCGAC